UGUUAAAAAAAAUUCAUCGAUUUCUACUAUUAAAAACUAGCUUGGCUAACAUAACAAUGAAACGGUUGCACAUUGUAUGCUACAUGUACCUCAUUUUUCAUACAAGGACCAAUUUUUAAAAAUAGAAAUGAAUGAAUUUUUUAACA
rfam:Gossypium hirsutum cultivar TM-1 unplaced genomic scaffold scaffold56.1, whole genome shotgun sequence